rnacentral:rRNA from 1 species
UACAUGGGGUGCAAACGUUGCUCGGAAUCAUUGGGCGUAAAGGGUGCGUAGGCGGCGGGGCAAGUCUGAUGUGAAAUCCCGGGGCUCAACCCCGGAACUGCAUUGGAUACUGCCUUGCUAGAGUACUGGAGAGGGAACUGGAAUUUACGGUGUAGCAGUGAAAUGCGUAGAGAUCGUAAGGAAGGCCAGUGGCGAAGGCGAGUUCCUGGACAGUUACUGACGCUGAGGCACGAAGGCCAGGGGAGCAAACGGG